rnacentral:rRNA from 1 species
GUGGGGAAUCUUAGACAAUGGGCGCAAGCCUGAUCUAGCCAUGCCGCGUGAGCGAUGAAGGCCUUAGGGUUGUAAAGCUCUUUCGUGGGGGAAGAUAAUGACUGUACCCCAAGAAGAAGCCCCGGCUAACUCCGUGCCAGCAGCCGCGGUAAUACGGAGGGGGCUAGCGUUGUUCGGAAUUACUGGGCGUAAAGCGCACGUAGGCGGACUGGAAAGUCAGGGGUGAAAUCCCGGGGCUCAACCCCGGAACUGCCUUUGAAACUCCCAGGCUUGAGUUCGAGAGAGGUGAGUGGAAUUCCGAGUGUAGAGGUGAAAUUCGUAGAUAUUCGGAGGAACACCAGUGGCGAAGGCGGCUCACUGGCUCGAUACUGACGCUGAGGUGCGAAAGCGUGGGGAGCAAACAGGAUUAGAUACCCCGGUAGUCC